ACCGCAAGAAAAAUGAAGGACUUUGAGGGGCAGCUGUGUUUAACUAACCCAGUCAUAAUGCCCCUAAAAAUCCUUAUUGUUCUUGCAAUAUUC